UGCGAACUCCUACGGGAGGCAGCAGUGGGGAAUAUUGGACAAUGGGCGAAAGCCUGAUCCAGCCAUGCCGCGUGAGUGAUGAAGGCCUUAGGGUUGUAAAGCUCUUUUGUCCGGGAAGAUAAUGACUGUACCGGAAGAAUAAGCCCCGGCUAACUUCGUGCCAGCAGCCGCGGUAAUACGAAGGGGGCUAGCGUUGCUCGGAAUCACUGGGCGUAAAGGGCGCGUAGGCGGACUUUUAAGUCGGAGGUGAAAGCCCAGGGCUCAACCCUGGAAUUGCCUUCGAUACUGGGAGUCUUGAGUUCGGAAGAGGUUGGUGGAACUGCGAGUGUAGAGGUGAAAUUCGUAGAUAUUCGCAAGAACACCGGUGGCGAAGGCGGCCAACUGGUCCGAAACUGACGCUGAGGCGCGAAAGCGUGGGGAGCAAACAGGAUUAGAAACCCUUGUAGUCCAGAUG
rnacentral:rRNA from 1 species